rnacentral:sRNA from 19 species
GUCAAUUACCACGCACCUAAAGGUACGUGGCUUGUAAAAGCCACAAGUUGACUAGCCUAAGUUCUUCGAGAACUACGUUACUCACAAAUAUAUAGUUACCUUGGAAUAUUUAGCCUAGUUCCAAGCUCUAAG